GAACUGAGGGGGGCUGCUCCUAGUACGAGAGGACCGGAGUGGACGCAUCACUGGUGUUCGGGUUGUCAUGCCAAUGGCACUGCCCGGUAGCUAAAUGCGGAAGAGAUAAGUGCUGAAAGCAUCUAAGCACGAAACUUGCCCCGAGAUGAGUUCUCCCUGACCCUUUAAGGGUCCUGAAGGAACGUUGAAGACGACGACGUUGAUAGGCCGGGUGUGUAAGCGCAGCGAUGCGUUGAGCUAACCGGUACUAAUGAACCGUGAGGCUUAACCUUACAACGCCGAAGCUGUU
rnacentral:rRNA from 1 species